rnacentral:sRNA from 1 species
GCUGGGCGUGGUGGUGGGUGCCUGUAAUCCCAGCUACUUGGGAGGCUGAGAUGGGAGAAUUGCUUGAACCUGGGAGGUGGAGGUUGCAGUGAGCCGAGGCUGCACCACUGCACUCCAGCCUAGGCAACAAGAGCGAAAAUGUCCCAAAAAAAAAAAAAAAAGAUGGAGUCUCACUUUGUCACCCAUGCUAGAGUGCAGUGGUGUGAUCACAGCUCACUACAGCCUCCAUCUCCCAGGCUCAAGUGAUCUUCCCACCUCA